rnacentral:miRNA from 1 species
CUCCAGAUGUUGCUGAACUACAACUCCCAUGAUUCUCAGCAAAUCUCUUUAAUUAAUGGAAUCAUGGGAGUUGUAGUUCAGCAACAUCUGGAG